rnacentral:rRNA from 1 species
UAACGCGUGGGUAACCUGCCUCAUACAGGGGGAUAACAGUUAGAAAUGACUGCUAAAACCGCAUAAGCGCACAUUGUCGAGUGACAGAGUGUGAAAAACUCCGGUGGUAUGAGAUGGACCCGCGUCUGAUUAGCUAGUUGGUGAGGUAACGGCCCACCAAGGCGACGAUCAGUAGCCGGCCUGAGAGGGCGACCGGCCACAUUGGGACUGAGACACGGCCCAAACUCCUACGGGAGGCAGCAGUGGGGAAUAUUGCACAAUGGGGGAAACCCUGAUGCAGCGACGCCGCGUGAGUGAAGAAGUAUUUCGGUAUGUAAAGCUCUAUCAGCAGGGAAGAAGAAAGACGGUACCUGACUAAGAAGCCCCGGCUAACUACGUGCCAGCAGCCGCGGUAAUACGUAGGGGGCAAGCGUUAUCCGGAUUUACUGGGUGUAAAGGGAGCGUAGACGGCUGUGCAAGUCUGAAGUGAAAGCCCAGGGCUCAACCCUGGGACUGCUUUGGAAACUGUGGAGCUAGAGUGCUGGAGAGGUAAGUGGAAUUCCUAGUGUAGCGGUGAAAUGCGUAGAUAUUAGGAGGAACACCAGUGGCGAAGGCGGCUUACUGGACAGUAACUGACGUUGAGGCUCGAAAGCGUGGGGAGCAAACAGGAUUAGAUACCCUGGUAGU